rnacentral:rRNA from 1 species
UACGUAGGGUGCAAGCGUUGUCCGGAAUUAUUGGGCGUAAAGAGCUCGUAGGCGGUCUGUCGCGUCGGAUGUGAAAAUCCAGGGCUUAACCCUGGGCCUGCAUUCGAUACGGGCAGACUAGAGUUCGGUAGGGGAGACUGGAAUUCCUGGUGUAGCGGUGAAAUGCGCAGAUAUCAGGAGGAACACCGGUGGCGAAGGCGGGUCUCUAGGCCGUAACUGACGCUGAGGAGCGAAAGCAUGGGGAGCGAACAGG